CAUAGGUUAAUGAGGCGAACCGGGGGAACUGAAACAUCUAAGUACCCCGAGGAAAAGAAAUCAACCGAGAUUCCCCCAGUAGCGGCGAGCGAACGGGGAGGAGCCCAGAGCCUGAAUCAGUGUGUGUGUUAGUGGAAGCGUCUGGAAAGGCGCGCGAUACAGGGUGACAGCCCCGUACACAAAAAUGCACAUGCUGUGAGCUCGAUGAGUAGGGCGGGACACGUGGUAUCCUGUCUGAAUAUGGGGGGACCAUCCUCCAAGGCUAAAUACUCCUGACUGACCGAUAGUGAACCAGUACCGUGAGGGAAAGGCGAAAAGAACCCCGGCGAGGGGAGUGAAAAAGAACCUGAAACCGUGUACGUACAAGCAGUGGGAGCACAGAGCAAUCUGUGUGACUGCGUACCUUU
rnacentral:rRNA from 1 species